GCUUAAUGACCGUUACCAGGUUUGCAAUUGCAAUUUAUGUUUUAAUUAUGCUUUUAUUUUAUGGGUAAUUUUAAUGUAAUGUGGAAUUACUAUUGGUGUCGAUCCCUGCUCCUACACAUACCUCGGGUUGAUCCAUGUUUGAGGUUUUAAAGUGUGCGAUGCAACUGGCAUAAUUAAAAUUGAAGUGUAAGCCUAAUUCAGGCGUCAGAUUUAUUGGAA
rnacentral:misc_RNA from 1 species